GGCCUGGUGGUCUAGUAGUAUGAUUCCUUCUUAGGGACUUGAGCCGUUUGGAGGAGGUCCCGGGUUCAAUUCCCGGCUAGGCCC